CUCAGCCUCAGGGUGCUGCUAAAGCUGGGAGCCGCAGCGCCUUCAGGACGCUGCAAGGCUAGUGGUUCCGAGUCGCCGCAGCUGGACUCCAGGGUGGGGGAGGGAAGAAGCCGGAGCCGCCGCAAGCCACACGUGAAAGAAAAGCACUAGAAGGAACUUUUAGUCAUUGUUGAUUUGGCCGUUACGCUGAUGCCCCAAUCAAAAAAAGGUGAUAGAGUUGGCUAUUAGUCAAGACUCUCUACUAACCUGUGAGAUACAUAGAGGAUGCAGUACAGUUGACCCUUCCCUGAAGAGUUGGACAUGACUGAGUACACUGCUGCUGCUGCUGCUAAGUCACUUCAGUUGUGUCCAACUCUGUGCGACCCCAUAGACGGCAGCCCACCAGGCUCCCCCGUCCCUGGGAUUCUCCAGGCAAGAACACCGGAGUGGGUUGUCAUUUCCUUCUCCAAUGCAUGAAAGUGAAAGGUGAAAGUGAAGUUGCUCAGUCGUGUCUGACUCUUAGCGACCCCAUGGACUGCAGCCCACCAGGCUCCUCCAUCCGUGGGAUUUUCCAAGCAAGAGUACUGGAGUGGGGUGCCAUUGCCUUCUCCGGACUGAAUACACACACACCCUUAAAAGAGCAUGUGUGUAAUGAUUGUAACCCAAGUUAGGAAAUGAUAGAUUCUGGAAGAAAAACAUACCUAAGGUUGUAAGACUGUUUCCAGCUUUUUAUUUUUGUGGGCAUGGAGUUUGAAUGAAG
ensembl:lncRNA